GGGCCCGCACAAGCGGUGGAGCAUGUGGUUUAAUUCGAUGCAACGCGAAGAACCUUACCUACUCUUGACAUCCAGCGAACUUAGCAGAGAUGCUUUGGUGCCUUCGGGAACGCUGAGACAGGUGCUGCAUGGCUGUCGUCAGCUCGUGUUGUGAAAUGUUGGGUUAAGUCCCGCAACGAGCGCAACCCUUAUCCUUUGUUGCCAGCGAUUCGGUCGGGAACUCAAAGGAGACUGCCGGUGAUAAACCGGAGGAAGGUGGGGAUGACGUCAAGUCAUCAUGGCCCUUACGAGUAGGGCUACACACGUGCUACAAUGGCGCAUACAAAGAGAAGCGACCUCGCGAGAGCAAGCGGACCUCACAAAGUGCGUCGUAGUCCGGAUCGGAGUCUGCAACUCGACUCCGUGAAGUCGGAAUCGCUAGUAAUCGUGGAUCAGAAUGCCACGGUGAAUACGUUCCCGGGCCUUGUACACACCGCCCGUCACACCAUGGGAGUGGGUUGCAAAAGAAGUAGGUAGCUUAACCUUCGGGAGGGCGC
rnacentral:rRNA from 1 species